rnacentral:rRNA from 1 species
UACGAAGGGGGCUAGCGUUGUUCGGAAUUACUGGGCGUAAAGCGCGUGUAGGCGGUUGGCCAAGUUGGAUGUGAAAGCCUUGAGCUUAACUCAAGAAAUGCAUUCAGGACUGGAUGACUAGAGGACCGGAGAGGAUAGUGGAAUUCCCAGUGUAGUGGUGAAAUACGUAGAGAUUGGGAAGAACACCAGUGGCGAAGGCGGCUAUCUGGACGGUUUCUGACGCUAAGACGCGAAAGCGUGGGGAGCAAACAGG